UACGUAGGGUGCGAGCGUUAAUCGGAAUUACUGGGCGUAAAGCGUGCGCAGGCGGCUUUGCAAGACAGAUGUGAAAUCCCCGGGCUCAACCUGGGAACUGCAUUUGUGACUGCAAGGCUAGAGUACGGCAGAGGGGGAUGGAAUUCCGCGUGUAGCAGUGAAAUGCGUAGAUAUGCGGAGGAACACCAAUGGCGAAGGCAAUCCCCUGGGCCUGUACUGACGCUCAUGCACGAAAGCGUGGGGAGCAAAAAGG
rnacentral:rRNA from 1 species